ensembl:misc_RNA Metazoa_SRP Metazoan signal recognition particle RNA
GCCGGGCGAGGUGGCGGGCGCCUGUAGUCCCAGCUACUCGGGAGGCUGAGGCAGGAGAAUGGCAUGAACCCAGGAGGCGGAGGCUGCAGUGAGCUGAGAUGCAGCCACUGCACUCCAGCCUGGGUGACAGAGCAAGACUCUGUCUCAA